rfam:Oryza brachyantha chromosome 3, whole genome shotgun sequence.
UUUUACCUAUGAUGAGUUGCAAAAAUGAUUGCCUACAUUGUUUGACUGAUUUGUGAGAAAAAAAAUGCAACAUCUGAGGAUACA